GGUGGGCCGGCACGUUUACUUUGAACAAAUUAGAGUGCUUAAAGCAGGCUGAUUUCUGCCUGAAUACUGUGUGCAUGGAAUAAUGGAAUAGGACUUCGGUUCUAUUUUGUUGGUUUUAAGAAUCCGAAGUAAUGAUUAAUAGGGACAGUCGGGGGCAUUCGUA
rnacentral:rRNA from 14 species